CGCGCCUCGACAGCGACCCCAGGUCAGGCGGGAUUAC
rnacentral:rRNA from 1 species